rnacentral:rRNA from 1 species
UACAGAGGUCUCAAGCGUUGUUCGGAUUCAUUGGGCGUAAAGGGUGCGUAGGCGGCGCGGUAAGUCGGGUGUGAAAUCUCGGGGCUUAACUCCGAAACUGCAUUCGAUACUGCCGUGCUUGAGGACUGGAGAGGAGACUGGAAUUUACGGUGUAGCGGUGAAAUGCGUAGAUAUCAAGAGGAACACCUGAGGUGAAGACGGGUUGCUGGGCCGACACUGACGCUGAGUGCGCGAAAGCCAGGGGAGCAAACGGG